AGAAAGCCUAGGCGAUUCACCCGACGCUGGUGGCACAGACAGUGCCUCAAGUACUUCUGCUGCUGUGUUACAGCACGCGGAAAUUACGGCCAAUAAGCGCACAGCAGGGAGGAGUCCUAGGAGCAGCAGCACGGCGUUGAGCGAUGUCGCUUGGUACUAUAAGCGGCUGGCCGCCCACAAGCACCCGGUCUGCAGCCUGCCUGCCUGAGCCCCUGGUCCUGAGGAGGAGUCCAGCCACCCAUGCAGCCCGGGAUCCCAGCAGCAGCACAGCACACAGCCAGCAGCAGCACUGCAGGGAGAGUGCCGCCUCCCUGGCCAUGCGCACAGCAGGGAGGAGUCCUAGGAGCAGCAGCACGGCGUUGAGCGAUGUCGCUUGGUACUAUAAGCGGCUGGCCGCCCACAAGCACCCGGUCUGCAGCCUGCCUGCCUGAGCCCCUGGUCCUGAGGAGGAGUACAGCCACCCAUGCAGCCCGGGAUCCCAGCAGCAGCACAGCACACAGCCAGCAUCAGCACUGCAGGGAGAGUGCCGCCCCCCUGGCCAGGGUUACCAUCACCAGAGAAACUACGCUAUUAUUCCACCUGUUGGAGACAGCAAUAAUUAUAUGUAUUUGGGGUGUGGCCUGGAAGUGCAUGAUGUAUGAAGAAAGUCCUGCAUCCAAUGAGUGUACUGCAUUGAAUUGUCACUUAUGCAUUGUCUAAUGCACCAAAUCUCCUCCUAACCCUCUGUUCCACGCUCACUAUCUACCACAUCUGUGUCACCCCUGUCUGCCACUCCACUAUAGAAUGGAAGCUCUCACGAGCAGGGCCCUCUUCCCUCAUGUGCAUAUCCUUCUCUUACUUAAACCAUCUUCGGUGGCAACAAAGCCCAUGGUUUUCUACCACCCUGAUACUUA